GAUGUUGAGGAUGAAUAGGAUAUGGGUGGUAGUAAUACUGAUGAUGAUGAUAAGGCAGAUGUUGAGGAUGAAUAGGAUAUGGGUGGUAGUAAUACUGAUGAUGAUUAGGCAGAUGUUGAGGAUGAAUAGGAUAUGGGUGGUAGUAAUACUGAUGAUGAUUAGGCAGAUGUUGAGGAUGAAUAGGAUAUGGGUGGUAGUAAUACUGAUGAUGAUGAUAAGGCAGAUGUUGAGGAUGAAUAGGAUAUGGGUGGUAGUAAUACUGAUGAUGAUGAUAAGGCAGAUGUUGAGGAUGAAUAGGAUAUGGGUGGUAGUAAUAUUGAUGAUGAUGAUUAGGCAGAUGUUGAGGAUGAAUAGGAUAUGGGUGGUAGUAAUACUGAUGAUGAUUAGGCAGAUGUUGAGGAUGAAUAGGAUAUGAGUGGUAGUAAUAUUGAUGAUGAUGAUGUGAUGAUGAUUAGGCAGAUGUUGAGGAUGAAUAGGAUAUGGGUGGCAGUAAUAUUGAUGAUGAUGGUGAUGAUGAUAAGGCAGAUGUUGAGGAUGAAUAGGAUAUGGGUGGCAGUAAAAUUGAUGAUGAUGAAAAUUAUGAUGUCCGAACUAUAAUGCUGACUGAUGAAGUUGAAUCCAGUAGUUUUUCUAUGUGUUUGUAAGAUAUGACCCCUGAUCUCAGGGCAGAAUAUUACCUACUACUGCCCCUUGUGUGGGGCUAUAGCUAAAUUAACUUUUAUAUCUCUGUAAAAGCUAUUGGUCACAUUGUACAUUACGUGGAAAGCUACAUAAAGUAUACAAAGACUACAUCCGUUGUACGACGCAUUUAUUUAGUAUUUAUUGAGCUUGACCUACAUAUUUGCAUAUGCAAUUAAUCAUCCAGUUUAUCAGUAGAUAAUAUGCUGAAAUGUAUAUUUUAUUAAACUUAGUAGGUCAUGGAUCAAAGGUUAUUAAGUUCUUAAUUUAUGUUAAUCAUCUAAGUACCAACUGUCAUGGGUAGUAAUUAUUUAAAUAGACUUUAGAUACAAUAUUUGCCUGUUUUU